AGGCUUUGAUCCUGGCUCAGGAUGAACGCUAGCGGCAGGCUUAAUACAUGCAAGUCGAACGGCAGCGGGUUGUAGCAAUACAUGCCGGCGAGUGGCGCACGGGUGCGUAACACGUAUGCAACCUACCCUUUACUGGGGCAUAACCCUGAGAAAUCGGGGCUAAUUCUCCAUAGUAUCUUUGAAUGGCAUCAUUUGAAGAUUAAAGUUUCGGCGGUAAAGGAUGGGCAUGCGUCCCAUUAGCUAGUUGGUAAGGUAACGGCUUACCAAGGCGAUGAUGGGUAGGGGUCCUGAGAGGGUUAUCCCCCACACUGGUACUGAGACACGGACCAGACUCCUACGGGAGGCAGCAGUAAGGAAUAUUGGGCAAUGGGCGAGAGCCUGACCCAGCCAUGCCGCGUGCAGGAAGACGGCCCUAUGGGUUGUAAACUGCUUUUAUACGGGAAUAAUAGCAUCUACGUGUAGGAUGUAGUCAAGUACCGUUUAGAAUAAGCAUCGGCGU
rnacentral:rRNA from 1 species